GACGAACGCUGGCGGCGUGCUUAACACAUGCAAGUCGAACGGAAAGGCCCCCUUGUGGGGUACUCGAGUGGCGAACGGGUGAGUAACACGUGAGUAACCUACCCUUGACUUUGGGAUAACUUCAGGAAACUGGGGCUAAUACCGGAUAGGAGCUCCUGCUGCAUGGUGGGGGUUGGAAAGUUUCGGCGGUUGGGGAUGGACUCGCGGCUUAUCAGCUUGUUGGUGGGGUAGUGGCUCACCAAGGCUUUGACGGGUAGCCGGCCUGAGAGGGUGACCGGCCCCAAUGGGACUGAGGUACGGCCCAGACCCCUACGGGAGGCAGCAGUGGGGAAUAUUGCACAAUGGGCGGAAGCCUGAUGCAGCAACGGCGCGUGGGGGAAGACGGCCUUCGGGGUGGAAACCGCUUUCGCCUGUGACGAAGCGUGAGUGACGGUAAUGGGUAAAGAAGCACCGGCUAACUACGUG
rnacentral:rRNA from 1 species